UACGUAGGGUGCGAGCGUUGUCCGGAAUUAUUGGGCGUAAAGGGUGCGUAGGCGGCGCGGUAAGUCGGGUGUGAAAUCUCGGGGCUUAACUCCGAAACUGCAUUCGAUACUGCCGUGCUUGAGGACUGGAGAGGAGACUGGAAUUUACGGUGUAGCGGUGAAAUGCGUAGAUAUCGUAAGGAAGACCAGUGGCGAAGGCGGGUCUCUGGACAGUUCCUGACGCUGAGGCACGAAGGCCAGGGGAGCAAACGGG
rnacentral:rRNA from 1 species